CGCACAUUGCGCCCCUUGGUAUUCCGAGGGGUAUGCCUGUUCGAGCGUCAUUAUCACCUCUCAAGUCUAGGCUUGGUGUUGGACCCUGGGUCUAGGCUACCAGACCGGUCUCAAAGAUAGUGACGGCGUCCGGAAAGGAACCCGUACGAGGAGCUUCUAAUCAAGCAUGUACGCGGCGUGAUUUCGUGGACGACGGUCUUUACUCAAAUAUCAUACCAGUGUUGACCUCGGAUCAGGUAGGAAUACCCGCUGAACUUAA
rnacentral:misc_RNA from 1 species